GAGACUGGGGCGCGCGCGGGCUGGGGGGAGGAGGCCCCGGCCAGGCGCAGAAAGCAGCGUCUCCCACGAGGCGCAGCCCGGGGCAGAAGCGGGGCCUGUGGGAGCUUCCGUGAGAAGUCCAGGGAAUCUCCCUUUCGUUCUUUUUGGGGGUCGCAGAGAAGCUGUUCUUCCCUCCUCAAAGAGUCAUACAGCGCAGAGGGAGCAGACUCUAACCGUCCACCAAGGGCUCUGAUUUAAAGUUCUCGGUCCGGCAUUGCGCCACCUCUUUGGGGAUAGGAAAGAAAAAGCACCUGCCCAAAGCUCUGAUUGCAGCAAACCUUACAACAUCACCAGCAGGAUUGAAACAGGUCACCUGUUAAAGCCCUCCUCAGAAAGAGAGCUAGACAGAGGUACAAUUAUUCUAGAGAUGUCUUUUGACACAUUCCUAUGGGGCCAAAGUGCCCCCAUCAUUUCCUUCUCACUUUCCCACCCCAGAGAGGAGGUUGGCCGUCUUCAGCCUAUCACCUCACAUAAGCCUGAUAGGCCUCCGGUGGGAAGUGAUCAUAUCCUCAGGGGAUAAGCUCCUUCCAAGAAAAGCAGGUGACUGACUUCGCCCAGGGCCGCGUUGAUCCUGACAACUCCCAGCACAUUCAGCAAGACCUGCCUGGAGACCAAAGUCCAUGCCCUGUGACUUAGCAUUCAGAACUUCAUCCUAGUUUUCUACCCUUAUUUCUGGACACACAUUUGGAGGAAAUUGACAGAUCGUGUCCAGGGUGGGCCUGUGGGGAGCCAACAAGAGUCUUACAGGGUGGGAAGUCUGUGUAGGGGACUUAAGACUAGUAUGAGAGAAUUGUCUGGCCUCUCUUCCUACACUUGAUCCAUGUAGCCAGAUAUCUUGUAAGUUCGAGGCAUUUGGGACCUCUCUUAAAACCCUCACUUGCUGGGGCGCCUGGGUGGCGCAGUCGGUUAAGCGUCCGACUUCAGCCAGGUCACGAUCUCGCGGUCCGUGAGUUCGAGCCCCGCUUCGGGCUCUGGGCUGAUGGCUCAGAGCCUGGAGCCUGUUUCCAAUUCUGUGUCUCCCUCUCUGCCCCUCGCCCGUUCAUGCUCUGUCUCUCUCUGUCCCAAAAAUAAAUAAACGUUGAGAAAAAAAAAACCCUCACUUGCUGCCUUAUACAAGUAUUACUCUUACUUCUGUAUCCUCUUGCCCUUCUUCCCCACAGAUGUUACUCUCAGGAAGGGCUCAGUGAUCUCUGUACUAAAGUGUAAAUGACUGAAAAUGUUCCCUGGCAUUUUUAA